UACAGAGGUCCCAAGCGUUGCUCGGAAUCACUGGGCGUAAAGGGUGCGUAGGCGGGUCUUUAAGUCAGGGGUGAAAUCCUGGAGCUCAACUCCAGAACUGCCUUUGAUACUGAGGAUCCUGAGUUCGGGAGAGGUGAGUGGAACUGCGAGUGUAGAGGUGAAAUUCGUAGAUAUUCGCAAGAACACCAGUGGCGAAGGCGGCUCACUGGCCCGAUACUGACGCUGAGGCACGAAAGCGUGGGGAGCAAACAGG
rnacentral:rRNA from 1 species